UACACGGACCUUGGGCUGAGAACGCAGGCGUGGGACGCAACGGUGUGGCGUGGAAGAGCUGGAGACCUGUAUGUACCCUCCCAACGCUUGGUGUUCGUGCGGAGCGGCUGAGGGAAAGCCGCUCACAAUCGAGCCGGCGGAUCGGUGCAACGCGGACGGGUGCGGAAGGAGCACGGACGGAGUGGCAUCCACGGCCCGGGGGAUCCAGGUGGACCUAUUGGACACGAUCCGUGCCUGGUGAUCGAGUGGAGCGGCUGGGGAAAAAGCCGCUCCAAAUCUGUGAGUUUCCCACACAAGGGUGGGGCAGCGCGAAGGGGUUCACGUUUUCUCCCCACUGGCAGCUCUCUUGUGUGGCAGGGCCGAGUCGCGGAGUGGAGAAGGCGGCCAGGGGAGCGUGCGUGGAGGGCUACAACGCGGAAGCCGGGGGGGAAGGAGUUGGAUCCAAUGCUCUGCCCUGGAUAAACUCUUCAGCCUUCUUUUUCCUUUUCUUUGUUGACAUUUUAGCGACUGUUAAUUGUUUUAGCCAAGGUUCAACAUACUUUUAAUCGUGUAUUUUACUAUUUUUUAAUUUUGCUUAAAGUUGUAAUAAAUUCACUGGAAUUGUU